rnacentral:rRNA from 1 species
CGCAAGACCUUACCUGGAUUGACAUAUACCGGAAGCUGAGGAGUGGUCCCCCUUGUGGCGGUAUACAGGUGGUGAUUGGGGUCGGAGUUCGAGCUGUGAGAUGUUGGGUUAAGUCCCAACGAGCACAACCUCUAUCUUAUGAGCAGCACGUUAUGGUGGGGCUCGUAAGAUACUGCCGGUUGCAACUCGGAGGAAGGUGGGGACGACGUCAAGUCAUCAUGCCCCUUAUGUCCAGGGCUUCACACAUGCUACAAUGGCCAGUACAAAGGGCUGCGAGACCGUGAGGGGGAGGCAAUCCCUUAAAGCUGACUCAGUCGAUUGAGUCUGCAACUCGAACAUGAAGUGGGAGUCGCUAGUAAUCGCAGAUCAGCAACCGACGGGAAAACUUUCCCGGCCUUGACAAACUGCCC